rnacentral:rRNA from 1 species
GAAUUUUGGACAAUGGGCGAAAGCCUGAUCCAGCAAUGCCGCGUGCAGGAUGAAGGCCUUCGGGUUGUAAACUGCUUUUGUACGGAACGAAAAGUCUCGGGAUAAUACCCUGGGACCAUGACGGUACCGUAAGAAUACGCACCGGCUAACUACGUGCCAGCCACCGCGGUAAUACGGAGGGUGCAAGGGUUAAUCGGAAUUACUGGGCGUAAAGCGGGCGCAGGCGGUUAUAUAAGACAGAGGUGAAAUCCCCGGGCUCAACCUGGGAACUGCAUUUGUGACUGUAUAGCUAGAGUGCGGCAGAGGGGGGUGGAAUUCCGCGUGUAGCAGUGAAAUGCGUAGAUAUGCGGAGGAACACCGAUGGCGAAGGCAACCCCCUGGGCCUGUACUGACGCUCAUGCACGAAAGCGUGGGGAGCAAACAG